rnacentral:tRNA from 1 species
AGAGUUAGUUUAAGUUUAGAAUUGUUGACUGUUAAUCAAAAGGUUUUUCUCUUAAUAG